CGGGACGGGUGAGGAAUACAUCGGAAUCUGCCUUGUUGUGGGGAUAACGUAGGGAAACUUACGCUAAUACCGCAUAAGACCGUAAGGUGAAAGCGGGGGAUCGAAAGACCUCGCGCGACAAGAUGAGCCGAUGUCGGAUUAGCUAGUUGGCGGGGUAAUGGCCCACCAAGGCGACGAUCCGUAGCUGGUCUGAGAGGACGACCAGCCACACUGGGACUGAGACACGGCCCAG
rnacentral:rRNA from 1 species